GCUUCCGAUGAUGAUUGGUGAAAUACUUUCGUUCUUCCGACGGUGGUGAUCCUACCUAUGCGGAAAAAAAUUUGGAGACCUGAACUGAGGACUU